CCGGUCCAUUUCAAACUACGAUUUAUCUAUAUUCCAGUCUUCCUCUCUCUCUCUCUCUCUUCCUCACUACCUUCUCUUUCUCUUUCUCUUUCUCUUUCUUCAGCUACGAUUAUAUCUCUUCAUCUCCCCCUCAAUAAAUCCCAUCUCGGUUUAAUCUCCUCCUCAUCCCAUAAAACCCUAGAAUUGGGUUGCAACAACAUGUAAUCAGAGCAUCAAGACAUGAAAUUGAUCGUCGUUCAAUUGGAUGGCCGAUAAUGGAGAGAUCGACGUCACAAUCAUUUCUGAGUUUCUUCUUUCUUGAGCUCUCUGAAGGUCGGCAAAGCGAACUUUUAAGUCUAUUUCUAUUCGUAAGGUCAGUACAUAUAUGCUUAUCUUUUCGAUUAUAUAUUGAUUGUUUUGAUGAGUUUUAUGUUGAUUGUAAGUUGGAUGAUGGAACCUUAAUUUCUGACCUAAAAGUAUCUGAGUAGGAGUCUUUGGGUGGUUCUUUUAUUCAUGCAUCUCUAGGUGACUUUUUGGGGCUUUUAGAAGGCUCUGAAUUUCUGAUUGUUAAUAGAAUACUGUUAAUGUCUUAUGUUAUUGUUUCAGGACAAGUUUUAAUUUGAGAAUAGUGUCCAGUCGGAAUUUGAUUCAAAAUGCAGUCUCCAAGGGCUUUCAUGUCAUCAAGCAUUGCAGCCGAUGCUUUUCAAGAAAGUGCAAGCUCAAAAGCUUAUGGGUCUGAACAGAUUCAGGUAAAUGAAUAACUAUAUAGUAUUUUUUUUUCAUUGAUAAGAAUAUGAUAAUGUGUUUCACAUCAUGUAAAUGCCUUCUAUUCUUACUGAAACUAUUGUUUAGUGUUGUAGCUUAUAUAUACAUGGAAGAUGGGUUGUCAGACCAAAUUCUUCAUUAACAAUGGGUGAAUACUUUCUUCUGAUUGAACAUGAUUGAGUGAUGUGAGGCUACCGUGAUCAUAGAAAAAUGACCACUAAGAAGUUCAAAUAAAUCAAGUUUGAAUUUGACUUAAUUUUGACUACCCACUGAAAAACAAAGGAAAAAUUUACAGCCAAAUUACGGAGUUUGCAUGUUGACCACAUUAAGACACUUUUGAGCUAAUGUUAAUAAUAAUGAAAGUAAUGAACACAUCCUCUACUUGCUAUUAAUGAGUUAUAACAUUGACCUUUCAAACCCUUAGAAUAUUGAAUUAAUAUGUAUUCAGAUUUUUGUCAAGGGAUUAGUGCUUUUUGGUGGUUGUGAUAUUCAUUUUUUUAAGAAGUCAUGGUUUUACUUGAUCUAAUUUUUUUAUAUAAAAAGGAACGAAGAAAACAUUGGGUAUUGGAACUUGGAAGUCGUAUUGCUUCGUCUUUCAUAUAUAAACCUAUUGUUAAUUUACUUAUCAAGCAAAAAAAAAAAGAGUAAAAAGUUAUGGUUAGUAGAACACCUUCUGUUAAUCUGCUACCACUUUUGAUUUAUGUGUAUAAAAUAUAUUACGAUGUAUUUGUUUUAUCUUUUUUGUGUUGACCUCCUGUACAUUUUUUCCCAGGUGUAUCUUUCCACCAAAAUACUUGAGAUUCAAAAUCAUAAAUUUGCUAUGUUUGUCCUGGAUUUAUCUAAUAGAAUUCGGAAUGAUACGGUUUAAUAUCACUUUAAUCCUUGAAUAUGCCUAAAACGAGGGAAGGAUAAUGAAAUUUUUUUGAGAACCUGUAGUAUAGCAAAUCCUGUUUAGGAUAUCUGUUAUUGAAUUUAACUGUGAGUUUUGUAUAGCUUUCUUUACUUGAUUAAAAUUUAAAAGUAGCGUACAUUGAAGAUUUUGUAAUCCUUCAGUGAACUAUAAUNNNNNNNNNNNNNNNNNNNNNNNNNNNNNNNNNNNNNNNNNNNNNNNNNNNNNNNNNNNNNNNNNNNNNNNNNNNNNNNNNNNNNNNNNNNNNNNNNNNNCUCAUGAAAAUCUCAUCUCCUUUGUAUUGUUAUUAGUGGCUAAUACCUUUGUGAUAGAUAAUUGUUAAUUUGUGACUCAAUUAUUGUAAUUGUUUUGUUUAAGUUAUUGUUAUCCAUCAUUUUUUGCAUUGUUGAUGUAUAUGAAAAUCUAUUAUACCAAAUAUAAAUUUGUUACUGAAAUUAUCAAAUUAAAUUGAUUUCAGUCUUGAAAGUAUUAAUCUAGAAGAUAUAUUAGCAUGUGAGGAAAUAAAAUUCUAAGAUGGUAGUGAUGUUCAGUUGCUUUUAGUUAUCAUGUAAAUAAUAUGUGCAGUUGCAAAAUUGUUAAUGGGUCUAUAGCAUCAAAACUCACAUAUGAUAUAUUUAAUAUUUGUAUGUGUUAAAGCAAAAUAAAGAUUUUUUUAGUCUUUAUUUAGUUUUUCUAUACUAUAUUUUCUCACUAAAUCUUUUUUUUGGGUUUUGUUUUCUCUUUUAUAGUUUCAUAUCUGUGCUAUUUUUCUUUUCUUUUUUGGUGGCAUAUCUGUGACCUCAUGGGUUUCAUUUAGUAAGUAAACUUGGUGUGAAGUUGUUGAUUAUUGUUAUAUUUCUGAAAAUUAUGUGAUUCUGAAAUUUUUAUAAUUAUUUUGGUUGUUGUGUAGCAUGAAUUUGGUGAUGCAAUAACUGGGUGUAUCUCAACAGGUUGGAUUUGAUUUGUUUUUACUUUUGAGUUUUAAUUGGUUGAAGUUUUGGUUUUAGCUGUGUAUUUUGAUUGGUGAUUUAUUAUAUUACUAGAAAGUGUAAAAUUUGCCAUAUAUAUCAUUGUUUGAACCGGUUAUGCAAACUUUUUGAAAGUCAUAACUUUUAAGUUAUGAAUAUUAUUUUUCGUGUCCACCAUUUGCAAUGAGAUCCCUAUCAAUGGAAAUAUUAAACAGUGAAUCAUGAUAUCAUUGCUAUCCUCUUGGCUAAGGUACUGUGUGUGAUUUAAUAGAGUUGGGAAAGAGUAUAUUCUCACUUUAAUAUUCUCUUAGUCUUAGCUAAGGUGUGAUUUAAUAUGUAAUAAGGAGGAUAUAGAUGUAUUUGGUGAGUGCAUAUCUAUAGAAGACCCCACACUAAUCUAUUUGUAAAACCCAUAAAAGAUAAAGAGGGGGGGCGUGUAGUUAGAACUGUAGUUUAAGUGUUUGAUGAAAUGAGACUAAGAGAAUGUUUAUAUGCGUUAAUGUAUUGACACUUAUGAUUCAUAUUUUGGAGCCAGAUUGAAAUUUUAAUUAAAAAUAAUUUAAAUUAAAUGGAUUGUAAGUAUAUCAUUGAGUUCUAGGAAUUUCUUCUCUCCAAAUGUGAUAAACUCAUAUGAAAACACCCCGCUGGAUAACUUGCCAUGGUUGAGUGGGUUUUGGUGACAGACACUUUAUAACAAAUUUGCACCUAAAGUUCUUUUGACACUAUCAGUUUAGUACUCCAAUUAUUAUUUCUUGGUUAGUUGAUUCAAAUAGGAGGGGUUUAACUCUAAAUGUUUUCACUUUUUUCCCAAAAAAUGUAAGGGGGUAGGAAGAAAGAUAAAAAUAAGUUUUUUUGAUCAUUUUUAAUGCACAAAUCAAACCAAAUUGUGAAAUUCAUCUCAGGACUGAAGGAACAUCUCUUAUUAUUUGAUAGUGGAUUUGAUGCAUUAUCAGAUAAUUUACUAUUUUCUCUGUUUAUUUAUAAUUUGCUCUUUUUAAUAUAAUUUUUAUCAAAUAAUGUAGUUAUUUUUUGUAUUUUUUUGGUUCUCUGAUUGUACCAGGUGGGAAUUUGUGCCUCAAAAGUUGAGUAAUUUGCUAAGAGGGAAAUUUUCAUUUGUGUACCUGAAAAGUGUGGUUCAAAUGCAUGGUAAGUUGAAAUGUAAAUUUGAUGCAAGGCGGAUUAUUUUCUUAUGACGUGCAAAAUUUUGGAAUGAAAUGACAAAUUUAUUUUUCUUUUAAAAUUGAAUAUUGGCAAGUGCUAUUAGUCGACAAUGUCAUUGUCAACUGAAUGCAUAAUAUAAUAGUCUUAUCAAGUGAAAUUAUCUCUCAAGUUGUAUUGCAUAGUGCAGAAUAGAAUAUCGAAAAGAGUAUGUACAAGCCUUGAGAGUAGGCUAAGAGUUUGAACUUUGAAUUUGUGUGUGAAAAUCAGUUUCUAGACUUGAAAAAGUGCAGGAGCCUAUUUGCUAUUUUCACAACAAUUAUUAUAUUUCUACAAAUUUAAUAGUUGGGUUUGUUUGUUUUUAUUGAUUUCUUUUGUCCAUAUGGAUUCUCAUAUUGGAUGCUCUCAGGUUAUUCUUCAUGCUUAGAUGCUUUCUUAUCGAGUCCAAAGGUAGAAGAAAGAAACUUCAUGAGUUAUGUGAUUUUAUUAAUUUUUGUUAGUCCUUAUACGAUUAUACCUUAUUUUGUUUAAGUUAUUGUUAUCCAUCAUUUUUUGCAUUGUUGAUGUAUAUGAAAAUCUAUUAUACCAAAUAUAAACAUGUUACUGAAAUUAUCAAAUUAAAUUGAUUUCAGUCUUGAAAGUAUUAAUCUAGAAGAUAUAUUAGCAUGUGAGAAAAUAAAAUUCUAAGAUGGUAAUGAUGUUCAGUUGCUUUUAGUUAUUAUCAUGUAAAUAAUAUGUGCAGUUGCAAAAUUGUUAAUGGGUCUAUAGCAUCAAAACUCACAUCUGAUAUAUUUAAUAUUUGUAUGUGUUAAAGCAAAACAUGGUUUUUUUUAGUCUUUAUUUAGUUUUUCUAUACUAUAUUUUCUCACUCUAAACCCUUUUUUUUGGGUUUUGUUUUCUCUUUUAUAGUUUCAUAUUUGUGCUAUUUUUCUUUUCUUUUUUAGUGGGAUAACUUCUUUUUGAUUGGAAUAGAAUGAGGUGUGAGGCCAACUUAUAGAAUCACUUUCACUUGCAUGUGCUUUCUUUCAUUUUUUAAUUUAUUUCAUCUACUACAGCCUCUACAGGAUUGGAACAUUAAAGUUGUUGAUUCAGUUGAUAAAGAAAACUAUCUAAGUUGUUGAUUCAGUUGAUAAAGAAAACUAUCAAGACAAUUCAUCCAAAAAAGAUGCAAACAUUCAUGAAAAAAGAGUUGCAAUUUGAGGCCUAGAAAGCCUUUGUGCAAGCAGAAUAAUGCUAAUAAUUGAGGAAUAAAGCUCAGAUUCAGUUGUAUUUUUAUGUGGUGUUUAAAUUUUAAGAUGUAAAAUGUGUUAUGUUCGGUUUGAUAGUGUUUUGUAAUCAAUUAUGAGGACGACCGUGUUAAUAAAUUACACAAUCUAUUGUUCAAACUAGCCCGUACAUUGCACGGGCUAUCAACUAGUUAACAAUUAAUUAGAAAUCCAUCAAACUCUAGGAUGAAUUUUGAUAUAUAGCUACUUCUAACAUUUACUGAAAUUAACUCAUAAUUAAUUGGAAAUCCAUCAAACCUAAAAUUUAAGAACUGAAAAGAACUCAUUACUUAUUCUGAAUUAGCAACCCCUAUUUGGAACAACUCAGUAGAUAACAUCUACAUCAAAUAAACUCCUUUUCACAUUAAGAGUCUUUAUAGCACUUCCUCAAAAUUAACUACUAGUUCACCAGAACAAAAAUUCUAUUUAUAGAGAUACUUAGAAAAAAAUUAAAUUAUGAAACUCAAUUAAAAAAAGAAAAAUUAAACCUUGAACAACACCCAUUUCUUGGAGAGUUGGUAUUUCUUAGAGACCUGCAACUCUCUCUUCC
rnacentral:lncRNA from 1 species